UACGUAGGCAGCGAGCGUUGUUCGGAGUUACUGGGCGUAAAGAGUGCGUAGGCGGUUUUCUAAGUUUGGUGUGAAAUCUCCCGGCUUAACUGGGAGGGUGCGCCGAAGACUGGAAGGCUUGAGUAUGGGAGAGGUAAGCGGAAUUCCUGGUGUAGCGGUGAAAUGCGUAGAUAUCAGGAAGAACACGCGUGGCGAAAGCGGCUCUCUGGAACGGUACUGACGCUGAGACGCGAAAGCGUGGGGAGCGAACAGG
rnacentral:rRNA from 1 species